GGCUGGUUCUAGGGUGACGCACCCUGGAAUCGGGCUCCCUCUUCUCUGAUUCCGGGUGCAUCACCCGAGACCUUCA
rfam:Myotis brandtii contig218323, whole genome shotgun sequence.